rnacentral:tRNA from 1 species
UCCCAGGUAGCUCAGUGGUAAAGAAUCUGCCUGCCAAUGCAGGAGACAUGGGUUCGAUCCCUGGUUUGGGAA